rnacentral:tRNA from 1 species
CGGAUGUAGCCAAGUGGAUUAA